ensembl:lncRNA
AAUGACAAAGCCAAAAUUCAGGCCUUGCCCAAGCUGCCAAGUCCGUCAGCAGGCCAACCGCAAAACAUGCAGUGCUUGUUUUGCCACACUGCCAAGCAAGCGGUUAUUAAAAACUGCAAAAAUUUAUGAUGACUGGGGCCAGAGGGUCGUCAAAAACAAAAAUGCAUCUCGGGUGGUGGCCUCUGCCCAAAUAGCUGUCCAAAAACUUUCUGCCUUGGGCUAUAUGCCCAUAUUAUUUAUCAGCCAGAGGCACAAGGGCACAGGCAAGUUGAUGGCAGAUGUAGUCACGCAUCUGCCACCGACGCAAAACAACACACGUUUCUUAACCAGCAUGAAGAGGGCAUAUGACUUCAUAAUCAAACUGGAUGAUGUGCCCCAGCCCCAGCCCCAGCAAGACCAGCCCCUGCCCCUAGACCGGCUAAUCCCACAAGACCAGCCCCUGUCCCUAGACCAGCUAAUCCCACAAGACCAGCCCCAGAAAGACCAGCCCCUGCCCCUAGACCAGCUAAUCCCACAAGACCAGCCCCAGAAAGACCAGCCCCUGCCCCUAGACCAGCUAAUCCCACAAGACCAGCCUACCCCAACAGACCAGCAAAUUAUUACACUUGAACUAUUUACGAUCGACUCUCAGGCUCAGCAGCAUGUGGAGCCUCUACCACCCAGGAAAAGACAAACCCCACUAUCCACCCCGCGCCUACCAUCCACCCCAGGCCAAGGCAAACGAGCCCCACCAUCCAUCCAACCUCAACUAAAGAAAAGACAAAGUAAGUAAUCUUGCCUUGCACCCCAUCUGUAAAUUGGUCCCAUGGUCCAACCAAACUUUUUUUUGCCUUUGUCAUUUAAGGUUGCAAAUGCAGUCGACAGACAAUUUAUCCAUACGAUAAAAUAUUGGGAAGACGGAUGAAUGGGGUAAGAUGUAGAACCAUAUUUUCCAUUAGGCUGUCUGAUUAUCUCUUGACUCAUGUCUGUCUCAUCUUUCAAUCCACAUGUGACAAAACAGUAACACUGAGCAGUAGGUAUCAAACUUUUUCAACUAUCAACCCUCUCACAAGUGCUACCCCUUAUGAAAAAAAAGUAUACUUCAAGUUAAUUUUAUGAAGUAUACUUAAGUAAUGUUCAAGUAUAUUUUUAAGUAUACUUUAUGUAGUAAUUAUACUAGUAUCAAUGUGUACUUGUAGUAGACUUGUAAGUGUACUAUUUCAAUACUGCUUGGGGCUAAAUUGGCCCACUUUUAGUAUAAAAGUAUACGUUUAAGUGUACUAAAAGUGUAAACUUUAAGUACACAACUAGGUUUCUCAUUUUUAAUGCAUCUUUACUACAAGUGAACUUAUAAGUAUACUAGUAGUUUACUAUUUUAAUACAAGUAGUAAAUUUUUUAGUUAUGAAAGUACACACUGAAGUGUACUCUCAGUAAACUGCUAGUAUACUUGUAAGUUUUCUUUAAGUGAACAUAACAUUAUACUAUUUAUAUAUUAUUUUGCACUUGCAGUAUACUACUAUGUUCAAAUGUAGAUAUUAUUUUUUAUACUUGAAAAAUACAUUUAACUGUACUUUAAUUUUAAUGACAUUUUAUUAGCUUCAUGCUUUCUUUUUUAUCAACACUUGUCGGUUAUUUUCAUAAAGGCAACAUUUUAAACAAAGAAGCUGAGAAAAUCACAUUUUUGUCAAAGACUGCGCCUUGAUCAGAUUCAGAAUGGUGAUCAAAACACAGAUGGAGUAGAUCAAGUCCAACAACCCCAAAGCUUCACAGUCGUUUUCUCUUCAUGUGUUGCGCUUCAUUUCAUUUGGUAAUAUUAAGCAUUUUUGAAUUACAAGCUGUUUAAUAUUUGAUGAUCACAUUAUUUUACAUUUGCGUGAGUAAUCUACUAUCACUUGGUUCAGCUUCUUCUUCUCCUGUGUUUUGAUCCGGAGUUUCUGUACUAGAAGAUGUGUCAUAGCGCAUCCUACCGUAUAACAGUGAAAACAUGGAUAGCUGGAAAAUUCAGUCAAUGGUGGGGAAAGAGUAAAGUAGAAUUAAAGUAAAUUCCGAUGUACCGAUGCCAGUGGACUAGCCUAGACAAAUUUCAGAUAUGCAGAAUUAGAAACAUAUCUGUUUUAUAUCAAUAUUCUAAACAAUAUUUUCACAAGUUUCAUAAGACUGUAUAUGAAACUAUGUAAAAAAAGUUUAUUUAAUAGGCUACUCGAUCAAAACCAUUUGAAUACUUUGAAUACUUAAUUAUACUUUUAAGUAUAUCUCGAUCAAAAGAUAGAGUACAAGUAAAGGCCAAAUAUAAUUGGACUUUUCUCUCAGUAUAAGUCAAGUACACUUAAGUGUAAUUAAUUGUAUUUCUACGAAGUACAUAAAGUAUGUUUUUGAGAAUUAUAAAAUUUAGACUUAAAGUAUACUUUCUUAUUGUUUGUUUAAAAUAAGUAUACUAAUAGAAAACUUGAAUUAAAUUCUUUUUCGUAAGGGACAUACUGUAAAUCCUAAACAAAAACAACAAUUGCAAAUGGAGUGCAAGAUAUUCUUAUUUUUUAUUGAGCUUUCAAAAAAUACAUAAGUACUAUUGUCAACUAAAUGAUGUUCCAAGUAAGAACGCCAGAAUAGAGAGCUAAGUAAAAACAUUAUUUGAAUGGUAAAAUCAUUACAGUUACUUCACUAAACUGAUUAAGUGUGUGUGUCUGUGUGUGUCUCUCUGUGUGUGUGUGUGUGUGUGUGUGUGUGUGUGUGUGUGUGUGUGUGUGUGUGUGUGUGUGUGUGUGUGUGUGUGUGUUUGUGUGUGCAGGGGAAGGCAGCAGAGGUCAAAGUGCACUGGCUACCUUGCUCUUCCUGGUAAGUGAUGGCUGAUGUAAUUUAAUCCAUAGUUGCACACAGUCUUAGUGUUUUAAAACCUGGUCCCUUUCAGCCUUCAAAGUGAACUUUGAAGUGAAAGUGAAAGUGGGACUGAUAAUUGUUUUGGGCACAAGGAACUAUCUAAGCAUUCUAGGAUCCCUUUUAAAGUGAACUGAACUGAGACCGCAUGAGAACGUGCACACCAGCCUUCAAGUAGUCAUCUGGCUCAAGUUUGGUCAUAUGACAUCUGAAGCAAAUACAUUCUAACCUGUUUGCCCUAUACAUUUGCUAAUUCUAUUUUGUUUAUUUGGGUUAUUUUAUACAGUGUUUGCCAAACAGCAGUUAUUUUUACAAAGUGAAACCUCCCAUUAUGAACCAAAUGUAGUCCAAUUUAAAUGGCCUGUGAGGUGGACUGAACCAAAAACAACUCUUGUCUCUUUGUGUUCACAUAAUGAGUUCACUUAAAGAUGAUGCAGAUCACUUUCUAGUCCACUUCAGCUCUGAUGGGGUCUUAAGCCCAAUUCAUAGUUACAUGUAGAUGCGACGCAGAUGCCUUUGUUGUGCCAUUGCAUCUUUGCUGACCCCCUCUGCGGCCGACAUAGAGGCCUUUAACCACAUCAGUUCUGUGCCCAUCCCGUUGUGGUGAGUAUUUGCAUAGCGACACGGUUAACCCGAUGCAGAACUUCAAAGUGUUGACUGUAGGGAUGACUGUGUCCAAGCGACUGAGUCCAGUACUUUUCACAUGGAACAAAAUGACUGCUGCUUGACAAACGCCAUAUAAAAUAAACCAAAAGAAAUUAUCCAACAGAAAAAGGGUAAACCUUUAUUUUUCAGCUUCAGAUGACAUAUCUUCAAACUUGAGCCAGAAGACUAGUUGUGAGCUGUAGGCUGUACUGUAUAUGCUGUGUGUAAGAUGACUUUUGGACUAUUUACAGUGGCAGAGUCUGGGAGGACACCUGGGAGCCGGCCAGCAAAUUCGCCUGAUGACCAAUACUGUUGUACUAUUUGUUUUGUAUAUAUUUGUCAAUAAUUAAAUUCACUAUUGUUACAUUUUAUGAUUUGUCUGUCAAUCAAUGACUGCACUGAAUAAUUAAUGUGUCAUGACUUUGUGCUGUAUUUGAUGGGAAAAGUGAGAUAGCUGAAAGUUGCAUGUAGUGACAGUCAAGUCAAGUCACCUUUAUUUAUAUAGCACUUUUUAUAAUACAGAUUGUUUCAAAGCAGCUUCACAGUGAUAACAUGAAAAUAAUACAACAAAGUUUCUUUCUAGAAGAAAAUUACAUCCUCGUCCACCUUAAGGCAGAUUAGCAAGCCAAACUAAGCAACUAAGCAAGCCAAAAGCCAAGGCAACCAGAACAAGUACCAAAUUGGCAUUAUACUAACUGAUCAUGAAAAUUUUAGUUAGUAUUGAUGGUAAUUUUGGAGCAAAGUAAAUGGGCUCCUAUCCAUGGUGACAGAUGCCUCCCGCAUUAGGAUGUAUUACUGAAUCCUUUUUUACCUCUGAUCGCUAGCACACAACACUUUGUUUUUGUUAUCAUGGUUGUCUGUUCAGAACAAUUAUGAGAGUUCUUAAGACAUUUCAAACAUUCCCAAUGAAGAGAAGAGGCACAUUUAUAAAUUUUCAUCAAUGGUACAUGGGUCAGCAAUGAUUUUUCAGGUCAGGAAAGAACUAUGACAAAAAAUAUGAAAGUGAAUUGAAAUCACACAGCGUCUGAAGCGCCACUCAGGCCAUUUUUUCAUAUCCUUUGCCUCAUACAAAGACAGAUUGGUGUCAAAUUUCACAAAUAAUUUCCUCAUCCUCUGUGUCAACAAUCAACAUACAGUAUGUGCAUGACAUAAGGUGAUCAGACUUCAGAGAUCAGAAAGACUGGAGACAUGAGCCUGAGAAAUCGUUAAAGCCAGGAACAAUUCCAGCUUGGCCAUCAAUAUAAUUUAAAAGUCUAAUGUUUUCUUGUCAUAAAACCAGGGAGAGAGGUAGGUUUCCUAUGUUUCCCUGACAAUAGGGAACAUGCCAGGACACUGAGGACAUCAAUCUGGUCACCCUGGAAUGACUUGACUGUGGGCGGUUUACUAAGGCCUAUGACAGUGGUAGGAAAUCUAAGGCCUGGUUGUGCAAUGUGGGCCACAUGUGGCCUGAUGUGCUGUUUAAUCUGGCCAAUGUCUUCAUGAUCAAAGGCCUCUGGUCUUAAUUGUCAGGAAAAUGUUGCAUUAUUCAUGAAAUAUACUCAGUCCCCACUUAUUCUAACCCUAACCCUAACUCUAUCUUUAUUCUCCAUGCCAAGUAUGAGCUCUUAUCCUCAGGCAUAGGAUAUAGGGGACCCAAAUGUAAACUAAAUAUUUCUAAACUAUAGGCCUAAUUUAAACCUACCUCAAUUAAAAUUUUAAAUAAUGUUGCUUGAGGCUGCAGCGGUUGUGCAAUUGCUUCAUGAUAUAAUGCAUAUAGGGUUGUGUGUAGGUUGAAAGAUGAGCAAUAGACUGUGGCUUUGAUGCGCUUCACUCUGGCUACAUAUCGC